rnacentral:rRNA from 1 species
GUAACAAGGUCUCCGUUGGUGAACCAGCGGAGGGAUCAUUGCUGGAACGCGCCCCAGGCGCACCCAGAAACCCUUUGUGAACUUAUACCUUACUGUUGCCUCGGCGCAUGCCGGCCCCCAGGGGGCCCCUCGGAGACGAGGAGCAGGCACGCCGGCGGCCAAGCUAACUCUUGUUUUUACACUGAAACUCUGAGAGAAAAAAAACAAAAUGAAUCAAAACUUUCAACAACGGAUCUCUUGGUUCUGGCAUCGAUGAAGAACGCAGCGAAAUGCGAUAAGUAAUGUGAAUUGCAGAAUUCAGUGAAUCAUCGAAUCUUUGAACGCACAUUGCGCCCUCCGGUAUUCCGGAGGGCAUGCCUGUUCGAGCGUCAUUUCAACCCUCAAGCACUGCUUGGUGUUGGGGCACUGCUCCUCUCGCGGGGAGCAGGCCCUGAAAUCCAGUGGCGAGCUCGCCAGGACCCCGAGCGCAGUAGUUAAACCCUCGCUCUGGAAGGCCCUGGCGGUGCCCUGCCGUUAAACCCCCAACUCUUGAAAAUUUGACCUCGGAUCA